UACAGAGGGUGCAAGCGUUGUUCGGAAUUAUUGGGCGUAAAGCGCGUGUAGGCGGCUUUGCAAGUCGGGUGUGAAAGCCCUCAGCUCAACUGAGGAAGUGCGCCCGAAACUGCAGAGCUUGAGUGCCGGAGAGGGUGGCGGAAUUCCCCAAGUAGAGGUGAAAUUCGUAGAUAUGGGGAGGAACACCAGCGGCGAAGGCGCCGCUCUGGGCCGUAACUGACGCUGAGGUGCGAAAGCGUGGGGAGCAAACAGG
rnacentral:rRNA from 1 species